rnacentral:tRNA from 1 species
GGUGGGGUGAGGCUCAGUGGAAGUGCCUCUACUUUGAACGCAGAAGGCCCCAGGUUCAAUCCCUGGUGUCUCCA